UACGUAGGCAGCAAGCGUUGUUCGGAAUUACUGGGCGUAAAGCGAGUGUAGGCGGUCGGCCAAGUCUGUUGUGAAAUCUCCCGGCUCAACUGGGAGGGUGCGACGGAAACUGGUCGGCUAGAGUGCGGGAGAGGAGAGUGGAAUUCCUGGUGUAGCGGUGAAAUGCGUAGAUAUCGCUUGGAACGCCGAAGGUGAAAACAGGCUGCUGGGGUUGCGCCGACGCUGAGACACGAAAGCCAGGGGAGCAAACGGG
rnacentral:rRNA from 1 species